rnacentral:sRNA from 1 species
AUUAACAACAACGACAACAGGGCGAUACGUCGCCCGCUCGAUUGCUGAAAACAGGCUCGGACAGACAGCGCCCGUCGGUCGUUCCCCGACAGGCGUUCCACAGAAGCCUCUCAUCAAUCUUCAGGGUAGCUUAGCUACCCUUUUUUACCGGAGUUUGU